rnacentral:rRNA from 1 species
AAUGAACGCUGGCGGCAGGCCUAACACAUGCAAGUCGAACGGGUCCUUCGGGACUAGUGGCGGACGGGUGAGUAACGCGCGGGAACGUGCCCUUUGCUUCGGAAUAGCCCCGGGAAACUGGGAGUAAUACCGAAUGUGCCCGAGAGGGGAAAGAUUUAUCGGCAAAAGAUCGGCCCGCGUUGGAUUAGGUAGUUGGUGGGGUAAUGGCCUACCAAGCCGACGAUCCAUAGCUGGUUUGAGAGGAUGAUCAGCCACACUGGGACUGAGACACGGCCCAGACUCCUACGGGAGGCAGCAGUGGGGAAUCUUAGACAAUGGGGGAAACCCUGAUCUAGCCAUGCCGCGUGAUCGAUGAAGGCCUUAGGGUUGUAAAGAUCUUUCAGGUGGGAAGAUAAUGACUGUACCACCAGAAGAAGCCCCGGCUAACUCUGUGCCAGCCGCCGCGGUAAGAC